GCACCCAUGGUCGGCAUGCACAACCAGGUGGGAACCAUUUCAGUGGGGUGGGUGCUCACAGCUCAGAUAGUCCUUUGAGUUGUUUCACACAUUGUUCACUUGCUGCCCAUUGCAUUUUCCCUUGUUCAGUAUUUUUUACUGCCCUUGUUCAGUAUUUGUUGUUAAAUUGCAGUGGUAUUUAACAGUGCAUGCCUGGAGCUUGUGCAAGUUACAGUCUCUUAAAUGUUGUAAGCACAGCAUUGUAUUAUUGUUGCAGCCAGUUCCGGUUACCAGGCUCCAUUGACUUGGAGUGGAGCUAGAGGUGCUCUUCAUUAUCACAUCACCGGAGAGCAACUGAGGGGUCUGAUGAUAGAUGGCAGAUAUUCUCCACGUGUUCCAUUCUACACUCAAACCACAUCUAAGGCACUUUGCAUUAACCUGAAGGCAGCUGCCUUCCCAUCAAUGUCGCAGAGGCUGCACAGAAGGUACAGUGUUGCUGCUCUGAAUUCUUUAUGACACAUCGAUGGAAACUACAGACUGAAGGUGGAGGAUAGUCAUCCAUGGUGGCAUUGAUGGUUACAGCUGCCUUGUGUUUCUCCACGCUUCCAGCAACAAGUGCAGCAUUACUAAAUGCUGAGGCCACACAGUCCAUCCAGGCUUAGAACAGGUGGUAGGUAGGUUGCCACCUAUUGAAUUGGAUAACCAUGGACCGGAACAGAUAAUCAAUAUUUUCCUGCAGUAGUGAAUGUAGGUUACGGCUCGACAUUAAAUUAUAACGAGAAGAAGAAGUGAAUGUAGCUUGUUUCAUAACAACAUAGGUUGAUGGAGAGAUA